rnacentral:tRNA from 1 species
GGACAGCUAGCUCAGUUGGUUAGAGCGCCUCGCUUACACCGAGGAGGUCACAGGUUCGAAUCCUGUGCUGUCCACCA